rnacentral:rRNA from 1 species
UACAGAGGUGGCAAGCGUUGUUCGGAAUUACUGGGCGUAAAGGGCGCGUAGGCGGUCACCGCAAGUCAAUUGUGAAAUCUCCGGGCUUAACUCGGAAAGGUCAACUGAUACUGCGGGGCUAGAGUGCGGAAGGGGCAACUGGAAUUCUCGGUGUAGCGGUGAAAUGCGUAGAGAUCAGGAAGAACACCGGUGGCGAAGGCGCUCUGCUAGGCCGUAACUGACACUGAGGGACGAAAGCUAGGGGAGCGAAUGGG